rnacentral:rRNA from 1 species
AGCAGCCGCGGUAAUUCCAGCUCCAAUAGCGUAUAUUAAAGUUGUUGCAGUUAAAAAGCUCGUAGUUGAAUUUCGGGAUCAAGUCGUCGGUCGUGCCUCGGUACGCACUGGUGACAUUGGUUUCUCCCUUCUGAAGAACCUUGAUGUCAUUAAUUUGGUGUCUUGGGGAAUCAGGACUGUUACUUUGAAAAAAUUAGAGUGUUUAAAGCAGGCUCACGCUUGAAUACAUUAGCAUGGAAUAAUGAAAUAGGACGUUUGAUUCUAUUUUGUUGGUUUCUAGGAUCGACGUAAUGAUUAAUAGGGAUAGUUGGGGGCAUUAGUAUUCAAUUGUCAGAGGUGAAAUUCUUGGAUUUAUUGAAGACUAACUACUGCGAAAGCAUUUGCCAAGGAUGUUUUCAUUAAUCAAGAACGAAAGUUAGGGGAUCGAAGACGACCAGAUACCGUCGUAGUCUUAACCAUAAACUAUGCCGACUAGGGAUCGGAUGAUGUUAAUUUUUUAAUGACUCAUUCGGCGCCUUAC